rnacentral:tRNA from 1 species
GAGGGUGUAGCUCAGUGGUAGAGCACAUGCUUAGCAUGCAUGAGGUCCUAGGUUCAAUCCCCAAUACCUCCA